rnacentral:rRNA from 1 species
GACGAACGCUGGCGGCGUGCUUAACACAUGCAAGUCGAACGAGAAUCUGUGGAAAGAGGAUUCGUCCAAUUGAAGCAGAGGACAGUGGCGGACGGGUGAGUAACGCGUGAGGAACCUGCCUUUCAGAGGGGGACAACAGUUGGAAACGACUGCUAAUACCGCAUAACAUAUAGAUGUCGCAUGGCAUUUAUAUCAAAGAUUUAUCGCUGAAAGAUGGCCUCGCGUCUGAUUAGCUAGUUGGUGAGGUAACGGCCACCAAGGCGACGAUCAGUAGCCGGACUGAGAGGUUGAACGGCCACAUUGGGACUGAGAUACGGCCCAGACUCCUACGGGAGGCAGCAGUGGGGAAUAUUGGGCAAUGGGCGCAAGCCUGACCCAGCAACGCCGCGUGAAGGAAGAAGGCUUUCGGGUUGUAAACUUCUUUUGUCAGGGACGAGUAGAAGACGGUACCUGACGAAUAAGCCACGGCUAACUACGUGCCAGCAGCCGG